rnacentral:rRNA from 1 species
UUGGAAACCAAGGAGGGACCGAUCCUCUCGGUGUUGCCGAAGCGUCUCUGCGCGCUGCGGAAGCAGCAGAAUCGCAUCGCGCGGAUGGAAGAGUCCGGCAAGACGCUUAGCCAGGAGCAGAAGGAGGUGAUGCGCUCCAAGCCUGUCCUCGCCGCCGUCAUCGACGAGCUCGAGCGCCUCCGCGCGCCGCUCGCUGCCACCCUCGCCGAGGAGCUCUCCAUCAUCUCCGUCCCUGCUGCCGGUUCCUGUCCAUCUUGGACCUCCUCGUUCUUCAGCUGCACUAUUUCCAUUCUGUCUUUCACUAGAAUCCUUGUGAGUUUUUCUAUGCGAGGUGUUGGGGGUCACUGUAGCAGAUGA